UUUAUCAAAAACAUGGCUAUUAGAAGGUGUUUAUAGUCUNGCCUGCUCACUGACAAAAUAUUGUUUAAGAGCCGCGGUAUUUUGACCGUGCAAAGGUAGCAUAAUCAUUAGUUUUUUAAUUGGAAACUUGUAUGAAUGGUUGGACAAAAGAAGAACUGUCUCUAUUUUAAAAAUUGAAAUUAACUUUUAAGUGAAAAGGCUUAAAUAAUUCAAUGGGACGAUAAGACCCUAUAAAGCUUUAUAUUGUAUUUAAAUUUGAUUGAAUUAUUAUAAAGGUAUAAAAGUUUAGUUUAAAUUAUAUAUUUUGUUGGGGCGGCGUGUAUAUAAAUAAAUUUAACUGUAUAGAAAGAAAUCAUUAAUAAAUGAAUGAAAAUUAAAUGAUCCCUUUUAAGGAUUAAAAGAUUAAGUUACUUUAGGGAUAACAGCGUUAUUUCUUUUGAGAGUUCUUAUCGAAAAAGAAGUUAGCGACCUCGAUGUUAAAUUAAAAUGUCUUUAUGGUGUAGGUGCUAUAAGAGGAAGGUCUGUUCGACCUUUAAAAU
rnacentral:rRNA from 1 species